CCUACGGGUGGCAGCAGUGGGGAAUAUUGGGCAAUGGGCGCAAGCCUGACCCAGCAACGCCGCGUGAAGGAAGAAGGCUUUCGGGUUGUAAACUUCUUUUCUCAGGGACGAAGCAAGUGACGGUACCUGAGGAAUAAGCCACGGCUAACUACGUGCCAGCAGCCGCGGUAAUACGUAGGUGGCAAGCGUUAUCCGGAUUUACUGGGUGUAAAGGGCGCGUAGGCGGGGACGCAAGUCAGAUGUGAAAACCAUGGGCUCAACCUGUGGCCUGCAUUUGAAACUGUGUUUCUUGAGUACUGGAGAGGCAGACGGAAUUCCUAGUGUAGCGGUGAAAUGCGUAGAUAUUAGGAGGAACCCCGAUUGCGAAGGCAGCCUUCCGGCGCCCUACUGACGCUGAGGCACGAAAGUGCGGGGAUCGAACAGGAUUAGAUACCCUUGUAGUC
rnacentral:rRNA from 1 species